rnacentral:rRNA from 1 species
GAGUUUGAUUCUGGCUCAGGAUGAACGCUGGCGGCGUGCUUAACACAUGCAAGUCGAACGGGCGAAUUAUAUCGGAGGUCUUCGGGCCGAAGAGAUAAUAAGCUAGUGGCGGACGGGUGCGUAACGUGUGGGUAAUCUGCCUUUGUCAUAGGAAUAACUGCUUGAAAAAGUAGCUAAUACCAAAUAACAUAUCGUAUAGGCAUCUAUAAGAUAUCAAAGAGAAAUCGGACAAAGAUGAGCCCGCAUCUGAUUAGCUAGUUGGUAGGGUAAAAGCCUACCAAGGCGACGAUCAGUAGCCGGCCUGAGAGGGUGAACGGCCACAUUGGAACUGAGACACGGUCCAAACUCCUACGGGAGGCAGCAGUGGGGAAUAUUGCACAAUGGGGGGAACCCUGAUGCAGCAACGCCGCGUGAGUGAAGAAGGCUUUCGAGUCGUAAAACUUCUGUUGUAAGGGAAGAUAAUGACCGUACCUAAAGANGCCNG